rnacentral:tRNA from 1 species
GGCGAUGAAUGCAAAGCGGUUCGAGCGCCUGGGUUCUCAACUCAGUCCUAGCGAGUUCGAGUCUCGCCAUCGCCGCCA